AGUGAACGCUGGCGGUAGGCCUAACACAUGCAAGUCGAACGGCAGCACAGGAGAGCUUGCUCUCUGGGUGGCGAGUGGCGGACGGGUGAGGAAUACAUCGGAAUCUGCCCAGUCGUGGGGGAUAACGUAGGGAAACUUACGCUAAUACCGCAUACGACCUUCGGGUGAAAGAGGGGGAUCGCAGGACCUCUCGCGAUUGGAUGAGCCGAUGUCGGAUUAGCUAGUUGGCGGGGUAAUGGCCCACCAAGGCGACGAUCCGUAGCUGGUCUGAGAGGAUGAUCAGCCACACUGGAACUGAGACACGGUCCAGACUCCUACGGGAGGCAGCAGUGGGGAAUAUUGGACAAUGGGCGCAAGCCUGAUCCAGCCAUACCGCGUGGGUGAAGAAGGCCUUCGGGUUGUAAAGCCCUUUUGUUGGGAAAGAAAUCUUUCAGGCUAAUACCCUGGGAGGAUGACGGUACCCAAAGAAUAAGCACCGGCUAACUUCGUG
rnacentral:rRNA from 1 species